CUGGGAAAAACAAGGAGCGCCAGAACCGUGAUCAGCAGGAAGGCGAACAAGGAGCGCCAGAACCGUGAUCAGCAGGAAGGCGAACAAGGAGUGCCAGAACCGUGAUCAGCAGGAAAGCGGUGGGGAGUUUUGCACAAAACCUGGAUAUUUUGCAUUUCUCUGCAAAACGACUCCUAAAAAGGAAAAUGGAGGAUGAAGAUGGAUAUAUGGCUAUCGACCCAACACGAAGGGAUACCUACAUGCAACCCAGCACACAAAAGAUGGAAGUUAAUUCCACAGAUUCCUCCUCGAACCGCCGAUGCUGGAAAAUCACACUAGGGGUUUCUCUGCUAUGCAGCCUUGCUCUGAAUGUGACCCUGAUCAUUCUUU